AUUGAACGCUGGCGGCAGGCCUAACACAUGCAAGUCGAGCGGAGCGGCGGACGGGUGAGUAAUGCCUAGGAAUCUGCCUGGCAGUGGGGGAUAACGUCCGGAAACGGGCGCUAAUACCGCAUACUAUCAGAUGAGCCUAGGUCGGAUUAGCUAGUUGGUGGGGUAAUGGCCUACAAAGGCGACGAUCCGUAACUGGUCUGAGAGGAUGAUGAGUCACACUGGAACGUGGACACGGUCCAGACUGCUACGGGAGGCAGCAGUGGGGAAUAUUGGACAAUGGGCGAAGGCCUGAUCCGGCCAUGCCGCGUGUGUGAAGAAGGUCUUCGGAUUGUAAAGCGCUGUAAUUUGGGGGGCGUUACCAACAGAAUAAGCACCGGCUAACUACGUGCCAGCAGCCGCGGUAAUUC
rnacentral:rRNA from 1 species